rnacentral:rRNA from 1 species
CAGGUGGUGCAUGGUUGUCGUCAGCUCGUGUCGUGAGAUGUUGGGUUAAGUCCCGCAACGAGCGCAACCCUCGACCUUAGUUGCCAGCAUUCAGUUGGGCACUCUAAGGUGACUGCCGGCUAAAAAGUCGGAGGAAGGUGGGGAUGACGUCAAAUCAUCAUGCCCCUUAUGACCUGGGCUACACACGUGCUACAAUGGGCGGUACAAAGGGUCGCGAACCCGCGAGGGGGAGCCAAUCCCAAAAAGCCGCUCUCAGUUCGGAUUGCAGGCUGCAACUCGCCUGCAUGAAGCCGGAAUCGCUAGUAAUCGCGGAUCAGCAUGCCGCGGUGAAUACGUUCCCGGGCCUU